ACGGGGCGCAGCAGGCGCGAAAACUGUGCAAUGCGCGAAAGCGCGACACGGGGAGCCUGAGUGCCUUGACUAAGUCAAGGCUUUUCUUAAGCCUAAAAAGCUUGAGGAAUAAGAGCUGGGUAAGACGGGUGCCAGCCGCCGCGGUAACACCCGCAGCCCGAGUGGUAGUCACUUUUAUUGAGACUAAAGCGUUCGUAGCCGGUUUUGUAAAUCCUCAGACAAAUUCUCCCGCUUAACGGGAGAUACUCUGGAGAGACUGCGAAACUAGGGACCGGGUGAGGUUGAAGGUACUUCUGGGGUAGGGGUAAAAUCCUGUAAUCCUGGAAGGACGACCAGUGGCGAAGGCGUUCAACUAGAACGGAUCCGACGGUGAGGAACGAGGGCUAGGGGAGCAAACCGGAUUAGAUACCCGGGUAGUCCUAGCUGUAAACACUGCCCACUUGGUGUUGCUUCUUCUAUAGGGGGGAGCAGUGCCGGAGCGAAGGUGUUAAGUGGGCCGCUUGGGGAGUAUGGUCGCAAGGCUGAAACUUAAAGGAAUUGGCGAGGGAGCACCGCAACGGGAGGAGCGUGCGGUUUAAUUGGAUUCAACGCCGGAAAACUCACCGGGAGCGACCUUUGGAUGAGAGUCAACCUGACGAGUUUACUCGAUAGAAGGAGAGGUGGUGCAUGGCCGUCGUCAGCUCGUACCGUAGGGCGUUCACUUAAGUGUGAUAACGAGCGAGACCCCCAUCCUUAAUUGCAAAUCUCAGGGUGACUUGAGAUGCACUUUAAGGAGACCGCCAGCGCUAAGCUGGAGGAAGGAGAGGUCGACGGCAGGUCAGUACGCCCCGAAUCACCCGGGCUACACGCGCGCUACAAAGGACAGGACAAUGAGAUGCGACAUCGAAAGGUGGAGCUAACCUCGAAACCUGUUCGUAGUUAGGAUUGAGGGCUGUAACUCGCCCUCAUGAAUGUGGAUUCCGUAGUAAUCGCGGGUCAACAGCCCGCGGUGAAUAUGCCCCUGCUCCUUGCACACACCGCCCGUCAAACCAUCCGAGCUGGUGUUGGAUGAGGGUAUGUUCGAGAGGACAAACUCGAAUCUGAUGUCAGUGAGGAGGGUUAAGUCGUAACAAGGUAGCCGUA
rnacentral:rRNA from 1 species